CAGCUAUUCAGGAUCUUUCCCU
rnacentral:miRNA from 1 species